rnacentral:rRNA from 1 species
GACGAACGCUGGCGGCGUGCUUAACACAUGCAAGUCGAACGCUGAAGCCCUUCGGGGUGGAUGAGUGGCGAACGGGUGAGGAACACGUGGGUAAUCAGCACUGCACUCUGGGAUAAGCCUUGGAAACGGGGUCUAAUACCGGAUAGGACACGUGGCCGCAUGGUCUGCGUGCGGAAAGUUCCGGCGGUGCAGGUUGAGCCCGCGGCCUAUCCGCUUGUUGGUGGGGUGAUGGCCUACCAAGGCGACGACGGGUAGCCGGCCUGAGAGGGUGACCGGCCAGACUGGGACUGAGACACGGCCCAGACUCCGACGGGAGGCAGCAGUGGGGAAUCUUGCGCAAUGGGCGAAAGCCUGACGCAGCAACGCCGCGUGGGGGAUGACGGCCUUCGGGUUGUAAACCUCUUUCGACAUCGACGAAGCCUUCGGGUGACGGUAGGUGUAGAAGAAGCACCGGCUAACUACGUGCCAGCAGCCGCAGUAA